rnacentral:rRNA from 1 species
UACGUAGGUGACAAGCGUUGUCCGGAUUUACUGGGCGUAAAGAGCGCGCAGGCGGUCGUUCAAGUCGAGUGUGAAAGCCCCGGCUCAACUGGGGAGGGUCAUUCGAUACUGAUCGACUCGAAGGCAGGAGAGGGUAGUGGAAUUCCCGGUGUAGUGGUGAAAUGCGUAGAUAUCGGGAGGAACACCAGUGGCGAAGGCGACUACCUGGCCUGUUCUUCGACGCUGAGGCGCGAAAGCUAGGGGAGCAAACGGGG